rnacentral:rRNA from 1 species
UACGGAGGAUGCGAGCGUUAUCCGGAUUUAUUGGGUUUAAAGGGUGCGUAGGCGGACUGUUAAGUCAGCGGUAAAAGCCCGGGGCUCAACCCCGGCGAGCCGUUGAAACUGCCGUGCUAGAGAGGAAGAGAAGUAGGCGGAAUGCGCAGUGUAGCGGUGAAAUGCUUAGAUAUUGCGCAGAACUCCGAUUGCGAAGGCAGCAUACCGGCGCCCUACUGACGCUGAGGCACGAAAGUGCGGGUAUCGAACAGG